ACUACAUGAAGCUGGAAUCGCUAGUAAUCGCGGAUCAGAAUGCCGCGGUGAAUACGUUCCCGGGUCUUGUACACACCGCCCGUCACACCAUGGGAGUCGGAAAUGCCCGAAGUCUGUGACCCAACCGAAAGGAGGGAGCAGCCGAAGGCAGGUCGGAUGACUGGGGUGAAGUCGUAACAAGGUAAC
rnacentral:rRNA from 1 species